AGUGAACGCUGGCGGUAGGCCUAACACAUGCAAGUCGAACGGCAGCACAGUAAGAGCUUGCUCUUACGGGUGGCGAGUGGCGGACGGGUGAGGAAUACGUCGGAAUCUACUUUUUCGUGGGGGAUAACGUAGGGAAACUUACGCUAAUACCGCAUACGACCUACGGGUGAAAGCAGGGGAUCUUCGGACCUUGCGCGAUUGAAUGAGCCGAUGUCGGAUUAGCUAGUUGGCGGGGUAAAGGCCCAUCAAGGCGACGAUCCGUAGCUGGUCUGAGAGGAUGAUCAGCCACACUGGAACUGAGACACGGUCCAGACUCCUACGGGAGGCAGCAGUGGGGAAUAUUGGACAAUGGGCGCAAGCCUGAUCCAGCCAUACCGCGUGGGUGAAGAAGGCCUUCGGGUUGUAAAGCCCUUUUGUUGGGAAAGAAAAGCAGCAGGUUAAUACCCCGCUGUUCUGACGGUACCCAAAGAAUAAGCACCGGCUAACUUCGUG
rnacentral:rRNA from 1 species